GGGUGUGCGUACCCCGCGCAUCCCCACAACACACAAGGGACUACCUGGGUCUCCCUGCCUGGGUAGUCCUUUU
rnacentral:sRNA from 12 species